rnacentral:misc_RNA from 1 species
GUGAAUCAUCGAAUCUUUGAACGCAAAUUGCACUCUCUGGUAUUCCGGAGAGUAUGCCUGCUUGAGGGUCAGUUUAAAUAAAAUUCGGUGUGGUUGCUGUCUUUAGUGGUGACGCAUCGGCCGUGGGUCGUCUUGCCUUCGGAUCAGUGACAUACAAAUUUGCAUGAUUUUUUUGAUCGUAUUUAAUUCAUUUUAAGUACGUUUGAGAU